rnacentral:rRNA from 1 species
UACGGGAGGCAGCAGUGGGGAAUCUUGCGCAAUGGGCGAAAGCCUGACGCAGCCAUGCCGCGUGAAUGAUGAAGGUCUUAGGAUUGUAAAAUUCUUUCACCGGGGACGAUAAUGACGGUACCCGGAGAAGAAGCCCCGGCUAACUUCGUGCCAGCAGCCGCGGUAAUACGAAGGGGCUAGCGUUGCUCGGAAUUACUGGGCGUAAAGGGCGCGUAGGCGGAUCGUUAAGUCAGAGGUGAAAUCCCAGGGCUCAACCCUGGAACUGCCUUUUGAUACUGGCGAUCUUUGAGUAUGAGAGAGGUAUGUGGAACUCCGAGUGUAGAGGUGAAAUUCGUAGAUAUUCGGAAGAACACCAGUGGCGAAGGCGACAUACUGGCUCAUUACUGACGCUGAGGCGCGAAAGCGUGGGGAGCAAACAGGGAUUAGAUACC